GGGGUUGUUGAAAGGUGUGUGAGUGCAGAUGAAUUAAAUUGAAACACAGAUGUAAACAUACGCGAAAAUAGAAAUGUAAAAACGAAAUCAACUACAGAAUAAAAACGGUUGGUCAUUAACUCAAUCACUAUUCUUCCAAUCACAGAUUAACGACAAGUACACACUACUCUAAUCCAAAUCCAACACGAAUCACCCAACUAAGCGAAGGGUAAUUUGGUCUUCAGAAUUGCAGACUAAGCGAAUGCAAUACACAAAUUUAAUCAGUCAUGCACCAUAUAGUCUAAUCAACUAAGCGAAGAUUAAAAACCAAUUAGGCAACUAAGCGUAUACCCAAUCGCAGGCACACAACAGAUUAAAUAUUGAGCUAAAUCAGAGCAGCAGUUUGGCAAUUAAAGUGCAAGAAUCUCA
rnacentral:lncRNA from 1 species